rnacentral:rRNA from 1 species
UGCUGUUAAAAAGCUGGUAGUUGGAUCAGAGUCGGACAGUGCAAGGUGGCCCUGUGUGUCUGUCUUGGUUCCGACCAUGGCAGCCGCAGCGGAUCAACCCCUUGCGCCAAACUGUCCGCUCUAACAGGCCGAAACGGUUCCCUGUGAGUAACUCCUUCACGGGAGUGAAAACGCUUACGCAUCAACCAUAUGCAUACGGGACGUCGGCCGAUGUUACUGUGAACAAACCAGCGUGUCCAAAGCAGGCUUUCGCCUGAAUGUUCGAGCAUGGAAUAACAAGGGAUCGAUUCUCUCGGUUCUUUUUGUUGGUUUUUAACCCGAGAAGGAGUAAUUCAGGCCACGGUGUCUGAGUUGGGUUCCCCGUCUCUUCGGAGGCGGCCCCAAUUAGGCCGUGUCCUUACGGGAUC